AAGGCGAGUGCGGGAAACCGAUUGGCCAGCUGGGUUUCUACCUCUUAUUGGCCGUAUGGUAGCAUUUGACCCAUUCCUGGUUGGUCAGUUGCAGGGGGUGUGUGCGGAGGAACCAGGAAUUAAACAAAGAAAUUCAGGCACGAGGACUAGGAGUUCCUCCUGAACCCAGGAGGCCAGACUCAAGUUCUCUAGUUGGACACUGGUUGUGGGGAAGAUGAGCGCCAAGUGGGCGAUCUUAGCAAACCUGCCUGCCAGUCUGUGUUUUUUGUUUUGUUUUUGUUUGUUUUAGAUCGAGUCUCACUGUGACGCCCAGGCUGGAGUGCAAUGCAAUGGCGCCAUCUCGCCUCACUUCAACCUCCGCCUCCCGGGUUCAAGUAAUUCUCCUGCCUCAGUCUCCCAGGGUUCAGCCCUACAGGAUCAUGAGAUGUCCCCUAUCGCUGUGCUGAGGCACAGGAUCCGAGAAAUAAAGAGACGAGACACAGAAGGACAAAGAAAGCGCAGCUGGGCUCUGGAGAGCCACGCCACCUACCAGCGGAGAUAAGCUCCCAGGGCACCAGAGUGGAGAUCCCUGUUGCAAAAACUCAGAUCCUUUCCUCACAUUGGGCAGAAUCAAGGAGCAGCCAGGCCCAGAGCCAGGAUACAGGUCUCCUGCAG